UCGGUCGGUCCGUCCACCAGGUGGUUUCAGGAUGAUAACUCAAGAACGCUUGGGGCUAGGAUCAUGAAACUUCAUAGGUACAUUGAUCAUGACUCGCAGAUGACCCCUAUUGAUUUUGAGGUCACUAGGUCAAAGGUCAAGGUCACAGGUGAAGGUCACAGUUACUGGAAAUAGGCAUUAUAAGGGUUUAGCAUGGUUCAAACAAGGGAAACAACUAUGGUUUAUGCAUGUUCUUUUUAUGCCCCCCUUCGAAGAAGAGGGGGUAUAUUGAUUUGCUCAUGUCGGUCGGUCGGUCGGUCUGUCGGUCUGUCUGUCAUUCCGUCCAUAAGGUGGUUGUCAGACGAUAACUCAAGAACGCUUGGGCCUAGGAUCAUGAAACUUCAUAGGUACAUUGAUCAUGACUUGCAGAUGACCCCUAUUGAUUUUGAGGUCACUAGGUCUAAGGUCAAGGUCACGGUGACCCGAAAUAGUAAAAUGGUUUCCGGAUGAUAACUCAAGAACACAUACGCCUAGGAUCAUGAAACUUCAUGGGUAGAUUGAUCAUGACUCGCAGAUGACCCCUAUUGAUUUUGAGGUCACUAGGUCAAAGGUCAAGGUCACGGUGACCCGAAAUAGUAAAAUGGUUUUCGGAUGAUAACUCAAGAACGCAUACGCCUAGGAUCAUGAAACUUCAUAGGUAGAUUGAUCAUGACUUGCAGAUAACCCCUAUUGAUUUUGAGGUCACAAGGUCAAAGGUCAAGGUCACGGUGACCCAAAAUAGUAAAAUGAUUUUCGGAUGAUAACUCAAGAACGCUUUUGCCUAGGAUCAUGACACUUCAUAGGUACAUAGAUCGUGACC